rnacentral:lncRNA from 1 species
UUUAUGCCUUCCGUCUCAACGAAUGAUCUUAAACUAUGUAUUAUACAUGAAGACAUUACUUCCCACACACGCAUUAUCGGCUUGGGUGUUGCAUCUCCUGAGCUCCGUUUACUGGGCGGUGUACUGAAUAGAACACUGUAAAUAAUUCACCUCGUUGUUGGGUUAAUCUGGCUGGGGGUAAAGAUUCCCCCAGCCGCUUUAUUUUAACUUUCGAAAUAUAAUACAUAAGAUAUGUAUCUACAUUAAAAUGUUCUGAAACCGUUUUGCCCAGUAAAGGUGAGGGCAAGAUUACGCCAAAGCAUCGAACAGGAGAAGAUGCCGCCCCACCCCAGGCGAAUGCAACACUCAAGUCUGUUACCAUUGAUGUAACCAAGCGCAAAGCGCUCUUGCUAUAAUCUACUUAGUCGUACUGAUGCUAAACAAGUCAAAACCACAAAUUUGGUUAAAGAACAGUCGCCCUUGCAAACUGUCUUCGUUAUAGUAAGUUUUAAAUAUUGACUAGGUCGAUUUAUCAAAUAGAGGUGAAAUGAUAAGAUACAGGUAGUCGCCCUUGCUGACUGCCCUGUGCAAAAGCUAACAUUAGAGAAACCUCGUAAAACGAACGUAUAGUAUAAGUUUUAACAGUCGCCCUUGCUAACUGUUAAUGUUCAUAUAUAUAACGAUAACAAUUUGAACUACUUACAAAUGCCAAGGUACCUGCAUGACUGGUACCUGAAGGCUACUUAUUUCAAUACAUUACAAGUGUUAAUUAAGUGUUAAUGCCUCAGUGACAACUGACAAAAUGCAACCGCCCUUGCUAAUCGCAAAUGGUCACCUGAUGACAGAAGCACUAACUGGAUUAUCAUUGUUGCCUGACCACAAGACUUUCCCCCGCAAAUCUUGCGGUCAGGCGCUAAGAUUAAUUUUGAAUAAAACCUUUUGAUCGGUAGGAAGAAAUUAAGUGGAAAUCGCUGGAACCCGAAUGUACUUAUGAAAAGCAUUUGACUUCCAUCGCCCCAUUGUGCGAAUUUGUGAAUCGGACAUCCCCCUUUCUACGGCCCAUGUGCCGGCACCAAUACGAAAACUGUGAGACUUGUAGCGAGACGAGUUAAGACCACACAAACGUAUUGCUUCAGACAGCUGUUUAGCAAAAACCUCUCUAGCUACAGGCAUGCCUUUCUGCGUUACAAAUAUUGGACCUGGUUGAAUGCCUCGCAAUGCUAGGUACUCAAGCAGUAGUGCGACAGGACAGCACGACGUUUGACGAUAAACCAGUAACGUAAAAGGCCGUUGGUUAUAAUUGUGCUUGAAAUCUAGAAAGGUUAAUUUGAUGCCAACCACUUUGUGGCUCGAGUCGUAAACAUAGGAAAUUUGAUCCAUUUGCAAAGGUUGACAACUUGCGUUGUUAGUUUGCUUAGUAAUUUCGCCAAUCCUUAAAAAGGCGAAGAAUGCCAAAGAGCACAUUGCUUUGAAUUGACAAACCUGGUAGCACGAAGCAGUAAUACCAGGAGCCGCAGCAAGCAAACUUUGUAUAGUAUUGGCAAAGUCACCGGCAAGCGACUGUCUAAACGUAUGCCAUUUUUUGCAUAGCCUUUUAACAUUUGAAUGAUGUAGAAAACUCGAGUUGGAUCAGGUAAACUGGACAAUUUGUGAGAAUAACCAAUGGCAGAAAUGUAAGUGUUGACUGUAGAGGAUGCAUAAUUGCGGUCAAAUAAAUACGCUAUAAAAAGCGCCAAUGUUGCGGGCGAAAUAGGCAUGCUAAAACGAGCUGUCUGAAAAAUCGCAGUGUGGAAUUGAGCAAAUAGUUUCCAUGCCCUAGUAUAAGUAGGAAUAGAUGAUUGCUGUAAACUUGAUUUAGUCAAAUGAGUGACUAUAUCCGCCAGUUUUGAGGCUGUAGAUGAAAGGGGAUGUCUGUGGGAAGACUGUUCAUGUUGGCCGGUGCUAAUUGUUGGAAGGCAGUCACCUGAAAUCGAGAUAAACA